GCCACCGUAGCUCAGUCGGCAGAGCAGUCGCCUCGUAAGCGACGGGUCGCGGGUUCAAGUCCCGCCGGUGGCU
rnacentral:tRNA from 1 species